rnacentral:rRNA from 1 species
CCUACGGGAGGCAGCAGUGAGGAAUAUUGGACAAUGGGCGCAAGCCUGAUCCAGCCAUGCCGCGUGCAGGAAGACGGUCCUAUGGAUUGUAAACUGCUUUUAUACAGGAAGAAACACCUCUACGUGUAGAGACUUGACGGUACUGUAUGAAUAAGCAUCGGCUAACUCCGUGCCAGCAGCCGCGGUAAUACGGAGGAUGCAAGCGUUAUCCGGAAUCAUUGGGUUUAAAGGGUCCGUAGGCGGUUUAAUAAGUCAGUGGUGAAAGCCCAUCGCUCAACGAUGGAACGGCCAUUGAUACUGUUAAACUUGAAUUAUUAGGAAGUAACUAGAAUAUGUAGCGUAGCGGUGAAAUGCUUAGAGAUUACAUGGAAUACCAAUUGCGAAGGCAGGUUACUACUAAUAUAUUGACGCUGAUGGACGAAAGCGUGGGGAGCGAACAGGAUUAGAUACCCUGGUAGUCCACGCCGUAAACGAUGGAUACUAGCUGUUCGGAGCAAUCUGAGUGGCUAAGCGAAAGUGAUAAGUAUCCCACCUGGGGAGUACGUUCGCAAGAAUGAAACCUCAAAUGAAUUGACCGGNNGAGAGAGCGAGGACGACGACGAGGGAGGAGG